GGGGUCUCACUUAGCCAAAACAGCUGGGUCUUCUUCAUGUUCCCUCAUCAUUCAAUUCUUAUUGAUCUUAACAAUAGAUCUAUAUACUGCAUGCUAUUCUUCUGCUUCUCUUUUAUCAUCUUUUUGUUAUUUUUCUUCCCCCAAGAGCAGAAAAGAGGAACAUAGAUAGAGACCCUUCUCUGAGUUCACCAAAGAAACCUCUUUGAGAUCUGGCUGGUACUCUUUAUUUCUUUUUGCUUCCAUUUUAUGGACCCCAAUUACAAGAUUAGCUUUUUCUUUCGCUCGUUUUUAUGUUGUUUUAUGUAAUUUAGUUAUCUGCUUCUUUUUUCUUUUGAGUAUUAAUUGCUUUGUUCAAGAUGGGUUCUUGCCAAAUACAGCAUUGCUUGGAAUUGGCCGUUUGUCGGUGGCUUUUGUUUUUUUGGGUGGUUGGGAGGGGGGAGGGGGGAGGGGAAUUCUGUUUGCUAGAUGAGAAAAUGUGGGAAAAUUAUAUAAAUGGAAUUAUGGAAAUUUUCACUUAACAUUUCUCAUUUAUGUAUGUGACCUGAGAAUGAUAAAAUCACUUGCGUACUCUACUAGGCUGACCGGCCUAAAAUUGGGACAAAUAGAUGCUGCAUUAAGUCAACCAUUUGGCUUAGUUCUUAAAGUUUGUUCCUUGUCUUUCCUGUAGGUCCUUUUAUGCUUGCCAAAUUCUCUCCUUCUCCAUAAUUUUCCUAGAUUUUCAGGAAAUUUAAUGUUGCCUAUGCGUACUGUUGCUUCAAUUAUGGCAUAGUUUCUAUCACACUUGUUGCUUUUCCUUUGUCUAGCAAUUGGUAAUAAAGAAUUAUGCUUAUUUAUGAAACUUACUAGAUCUUUGGAAGUGCUAACGAAUUUCCAAAUUUGAUAUGUUGAUUUAUUGCUUAAAAGAUUGAGCUAGGGAAUGAUAAGAAGAUGGGGAGGAAAGGAAAAUGGUUUUCAAGUGUAAGGAAAGUUUUUAGCCCUGAGUCAAAGGAGAAGAAAGAUCAGACAUCAAAAAAAUCAAAGAAGAAAUGGUUUGGCAAACAAUAUCAACUGGAUUCUGACUCCACCUCCUUAGAACAUGUCAGAGCGCUUUCUCCUCCUCCCACUCCUCCUCCUGCUCUUCCUCCCUUUCCUCCUCAGACAGAAGAGGUAAAAACAAUUGAACCAACAGAUGAGCAGAACAAACAUGCCUAUUCUGUUCCAGUUGCUGCUGCAGCUGAACCCAUUCAUCCUUCUGUCGAGACCACAAUGGAGGUUGUUCGACUUGUGAAGGUUAAUAAGUUUGCUGGAAAACCAAGCGAAGAAGUGGCUGCAAUCAAGAUUCAAACAGCAUUCAGAGGAUACAUGGCAAGAAGGGCAUUGCGAGCUUUAAGAGGGCUGGUGAGACUCAAAUCACUAAUGGAAGGGCCUACUGUAAAACGGCAAGCCACGCAUACCCUUCGAUGCAUGCAGACUCUAGCCAGAGUGCAGUCUCAAAUUCACUCAAGGAGGGUCAGAAUGUCAGAAGAGAACCAAGCCCUCCAUAGACAACUCCUACAGAAACAUGCAGAGGAGCUUGAGAAGUUGCGGGUGUGUCCUGUUUCCUUUCAUUUUGAAAUUCCCCACCUAACUGAACCAUUUGUUAUUAUCUGAUUAAUUCUCAUUAAUUUGCUGAACUAUAUUGUGUGCACACAAAAUUAUGAAGGCAGGCUAUUUGGGAGUCUGUGUACAUCACUGCCUGGUUGGUUUUGGGCUUUUUAUGUCCAUGAAAAUUAACUAGUGAGAUUUGAAAAUUUUCCUUCAAAUGGGAGAAAAACAACCUCUGAGUAAUUGGAGGGUUUCCAUGCUAAACUUCCAUUUCUCAAUAACUCUACAUUUGGAAUUUGGAGGCUAUCAAAAACAUGGUAUUUUUAAUCAAGAUGAACAUUGCUUAGGAUACCUGCAUCUCAUUUCUUCUGUGGAAUAACAUGCUACUGCUGGUGGUUUUUAAGCCCUGUCCCUUCUGCUGAGUAUAACCAUAUGGAUGUUGUAACAGAUGGGAGAGGAAUGGGAUGACAGCCUGCAGUCAAAGGAACAGAUUGAAGCUAACCUGUUAAACAAGUACGAGGCAGCUAUGAGAAGGGAAAGAGCUAUGGCUUAUUCAUUCUCGAAUCAGGUGAUCAAUUUUUCCCAUUAUUUUAACCUGCAUGAGGGCAUUAAUAGUAUUACAUGCUUGUUAAAAAUGUCUUCACUAGUUUCUGCUUUGGCUCUUUAAGAUCUGAAAAACUAGGAUUAGAUAAGCCAGCCAAUUAAAGUAGCUUGAUAACUUCAUGCAUAAGUAAAUUAUCUGCUUGGUCAAAGUCUUAGGAUUGAAACCCUAACAAUUGUAAAAUAAUUGCAUGUAUAUAGUUUACUUUUGUUAUAUGAUGAUACCCUGAACUUUCAUUAUAUGAUUUGCCUGCAAUAAUGAAAUGGCCUGUGCUCACUUCUUCAAGUUUGUUGAAACUUAUUUAGACCGUCUUCUAAGCCGAAUUUUGCUUGAAAUCCCUUGACAGCAAACCUGGAAGGACUCUUCAAGAUCUGCAAAUCCUAUGUUUAUGAACUCGGGCAAUCCCACCUGGGGUUGGAGCUGGUUGGAACGAUGGAUGGCGACCCAUCCAUGGGAGAGCCGGAGCAUGACCGAGAAAGAACUCAAUAAUGACCACUCAUCCUUGAAGAGUGCAAGCUGCAGCACAGUCGGAGGAGAAAUCAGCAAGUCUUAUGCUCGCUACCAGCUCAAUUCCGAUAAAUUCUCACCCAUAGACAGUGAGAAGGCAAGACAAACAAUGAGCCCUCUUUCCCUUUCAACUUCUUCCAAGCCAGCUUCUUCUACAGUAGCUAGAAAAUUGAAGUCAGCAAGUCCAAGGGGCAGCUUUGGGGCUCCUGAUGAUGACUUCAGAAGCAUGGCCAGCAUGCAUUCAGAUCGAUAUAGAAGGCAUAGCAUUGCAGGAUCAUCUGUGCAGGAUGAUGAGAGCCUUGGUAUCUCUUCAACAGUUCCAAGCUACAUGGUACCUACUGAAUCUGCAAGAGCAAAGUCCAGGGUGCAGAGUCCACUGGGGGAAGAAAAAAAUGGUACACCAGAAAAGGAAAAAGGGACUUUGGGGCCAGUUAAGAAACGGCUUUCUUACCCACCUUCACCAGCCAGACCUAGGCGGCAGUCGGGUCCACAAAAGGUGGAGAGCAUCUUAAAUUCGGAAAGUGGUGUGGCCACUUGAGAGGGCUAAAAACUUCUAAUAUUUGAGGGAUAAGUGUGAAACAAUUACGAUUCUUUAGAGAACACAAGAAAAAGAGGAAAAUAAGGUUCAUUCAAUUUCUGAAUCCUCUCCUGUUGUUGAUAAUUUUUAUUCAUUACUGAGAAAGUGUUGAAUUUGGGUGAAAUUGAUCUCGUUGGUUAGUUGUUUCAGAAGUACUGCUUAUUAUUUGUCCUUAUCUAUUUGUUUAUAUUUAAUCUGAUUGGACCUUGAUAUUUGUAUUAUGAAUUUAUGACGAAAUAAUCUCCAAAUUGACUCUGAACACCUUGCAAUUGUCUCCUUUCUUUGAAUUUCUUGAUUGAUUGAAUGAAUGAAUUGAUUCAUAAUUGCUGCUCAUUCUUGAGACAUUUGAUGUUGUUGUUCUGUGCAUUAUCUGUUCUCCAAAUUAUUAUCAGGGCAAAAUGAAUAUGUAUGAGGCAUAUUCAUGGCUUUUCAUCACCCAAAGCGUUGAAAGGAUGGUUUCAUUGAAGAAUAUUAGUUCUUGGCCUAAAUACCAUGUCCACUGGAAGUAUACCUUACAUUGCUGUUUAAGAUCAAGGCAAGUACCUUUCCUAUGGGACAACUUCACAAGUCUGAAGAUUUGAACAUGUGGUCUCCUUGCGUAUUUGAAACAGAAAUAUCCUUUAUGUGCAAGUACAGUUCCUUCAUCGCUUCUUGAGUAAGUUGAUAUUGGGCAAAAUCCUGAAGCUGCUGAAUCCUUGGCUUUGCUACCGUUUGGAGAUGUGGCAUUGGAUUAGAAACCCCUACUGUUGUAUCUGACAACGCUAAGAAAACCUGUAGAAAACUUGGAGUUUAGGGGUUAGAACAGUACCUGUGAUUGUCUCUAUACUUAAUAGUAUCUCUUUGUAUAAGAUAAUUUUAUGUGCAACGGUUUCGAAUAAAUUUAUCUUGUAAUAACCAUAUAUUAUUAGGCCUGUCCUCUGGUUCAGUCCGUUUUACAAUCGAUGGUUCCGAUUUAUUGGUUUAAGGGAAAUGUGAUUGGACCCCAGAGUCUCAAUUUUAGUUUGAUUCCGCUUUACUCCAGCACAAAUCGAAUUUAAUCAAAUCUAAUGAUUAUUUUUUAUUUUUUAUUAAUAGAAAAUUCAAUUUUAAUUCAAAAUCAGAUAAUUAGUUUCAAUCCAAUACAAAGGAGAUUUUAGUCAAGUCGAAUCAAAUUGAUUUCAGUUCAAUUUGGAGCUUGAACUGAAUAAUGGCCAUACUUAUUGAUCAUUACCAUAAUAUGAAGGGACUGGAGACAAUAAUCUAUUCCACAAUAAAACCUGUUUCACCAGUAUAAUCGUAAUGUUCUGUUUUGUAGCCAUGGGCAUUGACAUUGUAUACGCGGCUUCUAAACAAGCAGUAAAUGACAAGUUCCAUGCAUUGUUCCUUGACUCAAAGUUCAGAAAGUCCAUUUAUUUCUAGUCAUGCAAUAGAAGGAGUCUUGCCCCAUGAACGUAUUCAACUGCCAAAUGACUUCCUCUAUUCUCAAGGGCAAUUCAUCAAUAGUUUCAGUAGUAGUACUAAAAUUUAUAUUGUCAAGGGUGAAUUAUAAUCCCUCCAGCCUGGAGAUCCUAAUUUCAUACUGCCUGAUUGACCCAAACCAAUCCAACUCUGCCCACUUUCGGGAAGAAAACAUGGUCAUGCACAUGCCAUGGCAUUUGGUCUCGCAUUCCCAAGG
rnacentral:misc_RNA from 1 species